ensembl:lncRNA
CUGCGCCAAGGACGGAAGAGUACCUUGCAACAUUACAGGCUGAGGCACGAGUGCUGGGAAAGCAGCUCUAUGGAGAAAGUCUGGGGAGGACUGGUGGACUGCAGGCUGGACAGAAGCCAGCAGCAUGUUGUGAAUGCUCUUCAGCUUGAUACAAAUAUAUCUGCAAUUUCUGAAAUGUUCCUUUAAUGUGGACUGAUAUAGCUUUUGCAAGAGAAAUUUAAACCAAAUUAUGAAUAAUACUUUUCAUAGUUCAGCAAAAGUUGAAUGUUAUUUUUUUCUGAAAAAUACAAGAAUUUUUUUUAAGCUGAAGGCCAUCUUUACAGGAUAUUCAAAUCUUUAUCAGUGGCAUAGGCAGUGGGAUUGAGUAUACCCUCAGCAUGCUUGCGGAUGACAUCAAGCUGCAUGGUGAAGUUGAUACAAUGGAAGGGAUACGAGGAAUCCAAAGGGACCUGGACAUGCUUGAAAAGUGGGCCCAUGUGAACUGAAUGAGAUUAUGAAAGGCCAAGUGCAAAGUGCUGCAUUUGAGUUGGGAAAAUCUCAGAUAUGGGUAUUGACUUGGAGAAGGUCUCCUUGAGAGCAGUUCUGUCGAGAAGGACUUGGGGGUCUUGACUGAUGAAAAGCUGGACGUGAGCCUGCAGUGUGCACUUGCAACCCAAAAGGCCAACAGUAUCCUGGGCUGCCUCAAAAGAGGGGCAACCAGCAAGGAGAGGAAAGUGACUGUACCCCUAUUCUCUGCCUCUGUGACCCCUCUGUGGAGUACUGCAUCUAGGUCUGGGACCCUCAGUACAAGGAAGACACGGUACUGUUGUAGCAGGUCCAGAAGAGAGCCAUGAAGAUGCUCAGAGGACUGUGGCACCUCUCCUAUGAAGAAAUGCUGAGGGAGUUAGUCUUGUUCAGCCUGGAGAAAAGAAGGCUCUGAGGAAAUCUCACUGUGGCCUUCCAGUGCUUGAAGGGAGCUUAUAAGAAGGAAGAGGAAUGACUUUUUUACAUGGGUAGAUUGCUAAAAAAUGGGGAUAUUUAGGUGAGAUGUUAGGAGGAAAUUCUUUACUCAGAGAAUGUUGAGGCACAGGCUGCCCAGAGAGGUUGUGGAUGCCCCAUCCAUAGAGGCAUUCAAGACAAGGUCGAAUGGGCCCGGGGCAGUCUGAUCUAGUGAGUGGCAGCCUUGACCAUGGCAGAGGGUUGGAACUAGAUGAUCCCUAGGGUCCUUUCGAGCUCAAACCAUUCUAUGAUUCUAUGAUUCAAAUAAAAAACCUACACAGCAUUUCUCAUCUGUCAUCUCUAAUGAUAAAAAAAAAAAAAAACAAAAAACCAAAAACCUUCUGGCUGAGUUUUGACUGAACUAAUUAUCUGUAUAAUUAAACAUAUAAUGAUAUGUAAUACCUUGACUGGUGAGGAAGAUGUGAUGCUCUCCAUAAGCAGCUCUGCAGAUCCGGAAAACUGGGAGUACUCUUCAGGCUACUCUUGCACAAAUUUCAAAUUCCUAAAUGCUACACUCUAGAAACCCCAGUACAAAGGGGUCAUACUUCAUAUAUCUCAAAUAUUCUGUCAGUCUCUGUAGAAACAAUUUUGUUUUGGGUCUCCUCUAAGGUUAUUAAUCUAGAGAAGGCCUCUGUAAAGAUGAACUGCUGAGUCUGAGAGCACUUGGUGUUAUUUGACAAUAUUUCAAGCAUGGUCAUGAGGAUUAGAUAUCCUCCCUGACGGAAACAUUAUUAGAGUGGAGUGUGGAUAAUGUAGUAAGUAUUUUGGAGUUUGAAUUGCACACGUUAAUUCAAGUGGUGUAAACUUAGAUCUGAGAAAGAGAUCUGCAACAUGAAGGGGAAAAGGUGAAUCUACAGUUCCAAUUGACUUCAAAAGAAACUAGGCUUCAUGUGCCAGCCUUGAACUAGACUCAUAAAUACAAAAUGAAGUAUGCUUAAGGAAGACAAAGUGAACCAAAAAGAUUAAAGGAUUAACACUCACAGUUGCAAAACCCACAUAGGCGUCAAAAGCCACUUGCAUUGUUCUGUCCCUGGCAAUAACAUUAGCAGAUGCUGUUAAAUGCAUAAGAAACUAAAGCAAGUACAGAUUACUCUUUCAUUCAGAGUAUCCUCUUUACUUCUGAAGACAGUGGGUCAGGGGGUUCCUGAGACAGAAACCGUAAUGAUGUGUCUUUUUGUUUUUGAAGCCAUACUUUUGGCAUUUCCAACAUUUGGUGACAGUGAACUCUGUGUGAUACUGUGUGUGCUAUUUUAUACAAAAUAACUAUGCAGUCAUUGGAAAAAAAUGUUCUGUUUUACAUUUGGAUCUUCUCCCUGGCUGUUGCAUUGGGAGCCUUGUCGUUCUUGUGCGCUAUUAGAAAUAGUAAACAGUUUUUCUCCACUCGUGUUAUUGGCAUCUUUGAAUAUUUUAUAUAUCUACUGGAUUUCUGUCUGCCUUUUUGUUUGCUUCUUUAUUUGUUUUUCCCCUUCAUCCUGAAGAAUCCAAGAGUAUACAAUCUUAUUCCAGAUGGAGGUAAUUCUGGCUCUCUGAUCAUCCUUAUCUAUAUUUGUCCUUGUUCUGCUAUUUAGUUAUUCAGACUGAGUGGCCAAGAUUGUUGUCAAU